UAGAGUCCAGCAGGGGAGGCACGCCUACCUCCAUCCCUGGUCCUGGCCAGUUAAUGGAUGGGUUAAGUGUCCUAGCUUGUCAAUUUAAUGGUGUGUGUGUACUGUCCUCUGAAGAAAUUGUCUUUAGUCCCAUUUAAUGACAAGCAAGAUGGUUCAUCAGUAAGGGUGCUUGCCACCAAAACUGACACUUGAAUUCAGUCCCUGGAACCUACUUGGUAGAAGAGGACUGACUCCUGAAAGCUGUCCUCUCACCGUCACAGGCAUGGGCUUGCCAUCCUACAUGCACAGGAAAAAGGAGCAAAGAGCCACGCAAUGAAUGAGCUAUGGUACAGUGUUCUCUCCAAAAUGUCUGCAGUUUGCAACUGUAGUUACAGCUCUUCUUCACAGGAAUCGACAUCAAACUCGACGCAAGUUAACUUUACAGUACUGAAUAAUGCGACUCAGAUUCGAGGACAAAUGUGCAGAGAUGGUAACGUGUGAAAACUGUGGCCUCUGACGCCAUCACAGGGAUGACGUCAGGUUCGUAAGCAGAUUCUCCCGUACAGUUGAAACGGCAUCGUGUGCAUCCGUGGCAUGAACUGAAGUCUAGAAGCGUUGUCUCUCAUCUGUGGUACCCUCCCUGCGGUUCUCCAGUACCACUCAGUUUCCUUUGCAGUUACAGAAUUCAGGGGGUAGGUGGGGGGACAUGGGAAAGCAAGCCACUGGCAUUUUAACAACUGCACCCCUGCUGGUGGACCUAGCUUUUCAGAUGAGAUCUCCUGCCCGCACGUGACAACUGCUUGCUCCCAGACGGCCUAGGCAACUAGUCUUUCCUACUCUGGUCUCUUUUGAAGCAGGUACAAUUUCCGUGAUAGUGCUUUUCCCAGUGGAGAAAUUAUUUGGCUAAACUCAUACACUCAACUCGUGGCAGUGCUCUGGGAAAACCCCACUGGGGCUAAAGCACUUACAAGGACUAAGGACUAAGUCCGCUAAGUGAGGCAGAGACCAAACACCCAGAGGGCUGAGUUGAAACCCACCGGGAACACGCUGGCCCUGGUGUCCCACGGUCAGCAGGACAGCAGGACAGCCCAGGGCAGGCAACUCAUAGCUGAGUUGCCACUUUUAGUCUCUGCCUGCCGUCAAUGCCCCAGAGACAAAAAUUCAGAUGUGGUGACAGCUGGUUAAUUAAGCUUUUGAACUGGUAAAAAAGGCUCUUGGUUCUGAGACGACAGAGAAAGAGGGGAGAUGAAUCCGAGGGACAGGAGGUGGCUGAGGCUCUUCAGCAUGGCGCCGCUUCUGCGUUCACAGCUCAGCACCGCAACGCCUGCUGACGUGUCCGCUGUUUGCAAUACAGUAGAACAAUAUGCUGAUCCACUGAGUCUGGAGAGACGCUACGUGUCCCGGGCUUAGAUGCUGGACUCUUUAGGGAGCAGGUCCACAUUGGUGACGGAGGUCACCAGAGAGACGAGACAGUCCGAGGUAGUGCCGUUGACCGACCUCCUGAUCAGGGAUACCCGCUCUUCUACACAGCCUGCAGAAAGGCGAGCCUCUGCAUCAUGGUCCCAGCACUCCUCGAUGGUCACGCAGAGCUGGGCCAGGCCCUGCAGAGGAGGGGGAGGGGGGAAGAACCCUUGUUA
rnacentral:lncRNA from 1 species